CGGCUCGGAGUUGUGGAUCAUAUAUGCUUUCACCCCCUGCUUGGUGCUUCUUUGGACCAAGUGGCUGGGGUUGCAAACUCUUUGGGGGCAGAUGUUGGCUCUAAUCUUCAAGGUUUGCUCCGUUGACUGUGUGACCACAUUAUGUUGUCGAUAGUAGUAGAAUGAUGAGCAAAUAUGCUUUUAAAGAUGAUUAACUGGAAAGUAGAAAUCAUCUGGCUAUGUUAAGCUAUGUGAUUAUUAGCAACAGUCAAAUUCAAAUUCAAAUUCAAAUUAUAUGGAUGGAAAUCAGUUUAUAUUCUACAUGGAUUGCUGAUAAUCUCAAAUGUAGCCUGCAGUCCCUACCUUUCUCUAUGGAGCUGCCCAUGAAGAGGGGAGGACACUUGAUUCAAUCAGAAGAGAGCUGGGUUAUUUCAGGCCAACUUCUAGUGGAGAACAGUGGGUUGGGGGGCCAAAAUCGG
rnacentral:lncRNA from 1 species